AAAUUACUAGUAAAUUUACAUGUAAAGCAUUUGUAAUAUCCUCAGUUGCUAAUUGAGAUGGUGAAACUGGCUAUGGAGAUGGUACUGCCUCUUGAGUAACAUCUGGAGGAGGUUGUAAUAUGGGGCGCUUCCUCGUUCUUUUCCCUCUUUGUCAUUGGUCUGCCAUCUACAGUACAAAACUAAUCAACUCUAGAUAAUUUCAAUAAUACAUCAUAAAAUAUUAUAAAUAGGUUACUAGUAAAUUUCCACGUCAUACCAAAUCAUUAGUCUAAAUCACUAUAUCCGUCACUAUCUUCC
rnacentral:lncRNA from 1 species